rnacentral:rRNA from 1 species
CCUACGGGAGGCAGCAGUGGGGAAUAUUGGACAAUGGGCGAAAGCCUGAUCCAGCCAUGCCGCGUGUGUGAAGAAGGUCUUCGGAUUGUACAGCACUUUAAGUUGGGAGGAAGGGCAGUAAGUUAAUACCUUGCUGUUUUGACGUUACCGACAGAAUAAGCACCGGCUAACUUCGUGCCAGCAGCCGCGGUAAU